AGCAAUGGCGUUGAUCUCUGCUCACUGCUACCCUCUACUGCGACCUUCUUCGGUCUCCGCGAGGACACCGGUGCCCAGGCGAGUAAUCAGAAGAGGAACGAGGAGGCCGCUGCGGAGAUGCCUCUGCUCCCAGUACGCCGACGAACGGCAGCCGCCGGACUCGCCGCCGCAGCUGGAGCGCCUCUUCUCGAACCUCAACCAGGCGACCAUGGAGCACGAGCCUGGGAGCCUCACCAGUGCCAUCUUCCUAGUGGCUGGCACAAUGGUUGGGGCAGGUAUCCUCGCAAUCCCUGCAGUCACACAAGAAGCUGGGUUCUUGGCCUCUGCAGUUACAUGCAUUUCCUGCUGGUUAUACAUGGUAAUAGAACGUCAUUGACUGGGUAAAUUAUCAAACCCGGCUUGUUCAAGGUGACAUGCAGUCAGAGAAGCCUAUGAAAGGUUGUGACAGGGUUGCUAGUUGCUGAAGUAAACGUCAAUACAAUGUGUGAGCUAGGAUCUGGAGGUGUCUCCCUGGUCUCAAUGGCUAUGCGCACUCUUGGGACAUUUGGAGUAAGAACAACCUGCUUAUCCUAUUUAUUUAUACAUUAUACGCUUCUUGUCGCAUAUGUGGCACGCUCUUCAGAUAUCAUAACAGACUUAUUGGGUAUUCCAUUAUGGGAGAGUGCUACCCUGUUUUCACUGGCUUUUGGGGGGAUUUGUUACUUUGGAAGCCAGCGACUGAUCGGUGCAGUAAAUGGAUUUCUGGUAGUUGGCAUCCUAAUGUCCUUCACUUCUCUUGUUGUGGUUGCAAGUGCAAACCUACAGUGGAGUUCUCUUCUUGAAGCAAAUUUUGCUGCUGCUCCACAAAGUAUACCAAUAAUUGCUCUUUCAUUUGUAUACCAGGUAAUCCUGUUAUCAUCCGUAUUUACUUGAAUAAAUUAUCUCCCUGGCACUAAACUGAGUAUUUGCUCUAUCAGAAUGUAGUUCCUGUUCUCUGUACAAAUUUGGAGGGAGACCUGUCAAAAGUACGAACAGCUAUCAUAGCGGGUACUGCCAUACCCCUGGCUCUGUUCCUAGUAUGGGAUGGUGUAAUCCUGGGAACACUUCCUGGCAUUGCAGGGAGCAGCACUGUUUCUGAUCCUUUAGAACUACUUAGAUCAAGUAAUGGGAUAGUGGGGCCUAUUGUUGAGGCGUUCUCAUUUCUCGCAAUAGGCACAUCAUACAUUGGAUUUGUUCUAGGACUCUCAGACUUCCUAGCAGACUGUAAGUAUCUUUGGUCCAUAGCAAUCAGAUUUCUCAGCUAACCCAGAGGGAGAACCUCUCCACCUUUUUAUGGGAGAGAUACCAAGGCAGCAAUAAUUCUUUCUUGUCGCUUCUGUAAAACUUUGCAGUGCUUAAACUACCAAGUGGCCAGAACAAACCUCUGCCAUAUUUAUUAACUCUGCUCCCUCCACUUUUUCUGUCCCUGCUUGAUCCGGAGAUAUUUUUCAAAGCAUUGGACUUUGCAGGAACUUAUGGAGGCAAGGAUCUUUUUACUGUAUAUUAAACUGUGUUAUUUCAUAAUCUAUUAUCCUCGCAAACAUGUGGUAAAAUGGGACGAUACCAACAGUAUAUUACUCAGUUUUCCUUCUGAUUUGAUAUCUCGAAACUAAACACCGCAUCAUAAGAAUUGUUUAUGUUGACCCAAAUGAAAAGCACUCCUUGUGGAUUUGAAAUCACAAAGUAAUAGCAGAUAAAUAGAAGUGCCAGACAUCUAUAUGACAUGGGAUCAUCUAUAAUCUAAUUGCAGUAAGAUAUUAUAAAUUGAAGUAUAGAGCAUUCAUCUGAUAAGUGACUGCAUAUAUAUGACACUUCAUACUUGAGUAGAAUGAACUGAUACCUUGCAUGCAUUAUUUUCAGUUCUAGUACUCUUUGGAGUUUUUCCUGCAGCUAUGUCUUGGUCAGAGAGAUAUUCAGAUGAGUCGGAAGCCCCAGUACCCCCUAUCGUCCCAGGAGGAAAACUUACUCUCUCGGUUGUUCUGGGAGGUGCAUUGCUUGUUAUUGUUUCAGAGGUAAUCAAGGAUGUAAUGCAAUUACAAGGACUACUCUGACAAUCAGUGUAAGUGAAAGGAUACAUACUUAAGUUCCGAACUUUCAGAUUUUUUGUACAGUAGUGCCAACAGGUAGCAAGUAUAUAGUCAAAAACAAUCAAGUGCAGUUUGCAGUUUCAUCGAGCAUCGACGUUGAGUGUAACCGUUCCAAUGAGAUUCGCAGGAGAUAUUUAUUGUCAAAUAGAGAGCUGUAUAAUGUAUCCUUGUUGAGUCUAUCUAUAUAAUGGGUUCCAAUCCAACUUUUA